GGGCCUCAGCUCGCUGCUGUCAGCAGGAAGUCACAGGACUUGCUGAGCACUGAGGCCUCUGCUGGCUCUCAAAUGCUGAGUCAUUGAAAGCCCGGACACACUGCAAGUAUGACUGAGGGGAAGAACCCGGAUCAGCCCCAGAGGUUCACUCCUAACAGUAUCGUCAGUGAGUCACUUAAUGUGGCUCCGAGGAACUGGGGAAACGAGAUGGAUGAUUGGAUAAAGAAGUUGUGAGACACACACAAUGGAAUACUACUCAGCCAUAAAAAAGAAUAAAAUACUAUUCGCAGCAACAUGGAUGGACCUGGAGGUUGUCAUACUAAGUAAAGUUGAUUGAUGGAUCAAACCUUGAGUUAUUUUAGAGACAGCACUGCAUGUAUGCAAAACGGGAACCUGCAUCUCCAGGAUGACCCCAGAACCAAGAAUCUUCAGUCUGCAGAACUCAAAGAAUAGGAAUAUUGCCACUGGAGCCCUUUACUAACCGAGAAGACCUUCAGUAGGAAAAAGCUGGCUUCCAGCAGCACGUGUGGCUUAUAUCGACUGAUUCAAGACUAGCCAAUCAGCCUCCAAGCUUGAAAUUCCCCCUAAUCCCUUAUGUUUUGCCUGAACCCUGGUUUGAGGACGACAGAAUUGAGCUGGGCUUCCUGUCUUUUUGCCAGUUGGCCUCACAAUAAAGCUUUUAUUUUUCC